rnacentral:rRNA from 1 species
UACGUAGGGGGCAAGCGUUGUCCGGAUUUAUUGGGCGUAAAGAGCGUGUAGGCGGCUAGGUAGGUCCGUUGUGAAAACUCGAGGCUCAACCUCGAGACGCCGGUGGAAACCAUCUAGCUAGAGUCCGGAAGAGGAGAGUGGAAUUCCUGGUGUAGCGGUGAAAUGCGCAGAUAUCAGGAAGAACACCCGUGGCGAAGGCGGCUCGCUGGGACGUGACUGACGCUGAGACGCGAAAGCGUGGGGAGCGAACAGG